GUAGUAUAAAUAAAUAUUUUUUAUAUUUCAUUAAAAAAAAUGUUUUUGGGAAAUUAUUCGAAUAUUUCACGCAUUUUAAUAUUUUAUUUCUAUUAAAUAGAAUUAUUUUAUAUUUAUCCUGUCUCAAUAAUGAAAAUGUGAACAAUAUAAAUGAUCCUAAAACUUAAUACAUUGCAAAGCUUGACAUAUCAACAAGAUUCGGUCGAGUUGUGCGCCCCGAAUUGGAGGGACUCAGCGGGAAUUGAAUGUGGAGCAGCGGGGAGCUUCAGCGACACGCGAUUCGAUUCUAAACACCCGGCCGAUGAAAACAGAUCAAGGCAAGGGCAGUUCAGCGGCCGCGGCGGUUUGUUUUCCUUCAUUUCCCGAGUUCCUGUCUGUUUGACUCAUAAUUUUAUUAAGAUUCUCAAGUUGGGAAUGUUACCGAGUCUGUGAUUAAGAAUGGAUCCUGUCAGGAGUUCAAGCCGAUCAACAAUUAAUGUGACCUUACCGAGUCAACACAGCGGCAGUGUCACAGGAUCAGCUGAGAAACGGGCAAAUAAACAAGCUGCAGUCCCAGAAAAAAAUGAAGAGUUGACACAACUAUUAGCAGCAAGAUCAAUAGAAAGAUGUUGGUGUUCCUACAGAGAUAAACAGAUGUUUAAACUUCUCAAGCAUGCAGUAUGUGCAGCCGAACAUUCCAUGACGUAUGAAAUUCUGAGGAAAGUUGCUCCUAACGAAGCACACUUGCUGAAAGACAAAAGUAUGAAAGCCAGGGUUCGUUUCAGAUUUUCAGGCUCAGAAUUUCCACCAGUGAUUUUAUUCAAAAUCUUCACGCACACUGAAGGUCGUGGACUCAAGUAUUUCAGUGGAAAGAAAAUCAUCAAGCCAGCAUCAGAUGCAUCAGUUGAUGCAUGCAGGGAGAUGGGUCAUCGCAAAUUUUAUGAUCAGAUGAUAGCAGACACUUGUCAGCACGAAAGAGAUAAGAUCACGGAUGAGAUUGAUGUAACUACUGUUAAAGACUACAUGCAGUAUAUUAGCAACCUGGAUGAGAUGCCUGCAUAUAUGGGAGGAAGAGAGAAUCUGUGGAGAAAGUUGGAUCUAAAUGUUCUUCCGAGGACCACCAUUCUUUAUGACAUCAUUGAUUAUCUGAAUCGUGGUUCAAUAUCUGAUCGUUUGAGACCUGAGAUUCCUCUUCUUACAACCAGGCCUCUGACACAGGAGGAGCAGCUGAAACACAUCAAGCUCAUCUCAAAACUAAGGACCCCUCUCUUGAGCCCCAUCCCAUCUGGGAGUGUAGCGCCCUCUCGUGGUCCAUCUCCUGGAGUGACUUCAAGACGUUCCAGGCAGGCUAGACAACGUGCAUCAAAAAUGAGAAAGAUGUAUAUGUCUCCUACUGAGGAUCCAGACAUGGUACCACAGAACACCGCUCGGACAGAGAGAUUACCCGGCCCAGACAACGAUCAGUCCUUUCCGACUCCUCGUCAUCUUGAUCACCAUGGUAACGAUGGAGAUGCCUUUGACGGUGAGGUAGAGGAGUGGGAGGAUGAAGCUGAUAAGCUGUAUACCUGGACGCAGAAUCUAUCAAUGGACGAUAUAGGUCUCACGCCAUCAUGACCGCGAUAGAUACAGAUGAAAAUGACCAAGAGAGAAUUAUAUGAAGUAUCAGCAAUGUUACUUGUAAGGAAAGAAGAUACGAGGGAUCUAUAUUAUAUUUGAAUAUCCUGAAAAUGUAUAUGAUUGAUGCAUGCCGAGUAAUUGACCACCAAAUAGUGUGUUUAGAUUUUGAUGAAUAAACUACUGAUAGAUGAAACAAGUAGUUAAUGUAGAUACUUUGUUCCCUUACCCCUCUAGAGUAAUGUUGAAUUGAAAACUGAACUGAAAAGCUAGAUUACUAAAUGAUAAGAAUGCAUUAGAAACAAAAAUGACUGAAGGACUAAAUUAGAGACUAAUAAAGCACAACAGAAUGAUCAAAUGAACAAUUUAAAUUGAGCUAUGUAUGUCUGUCCUUUCUUUAUUUUCUUUCAUGAGGCAUACAUGUAAAUGCAGUGACAGAACAGAACUUUUUUUUUAAGGGGAGGGGAGAUGGUGUUCCUCAUUGCUUGUUGGACCUGUUAUAUAAUCUAAAAGCCUGCAUCUGGAACCCCUCCCCCCUCUAUAUUUCUUUGAUUAUUUUGUUUCUUAUCAUUCAUAUGCAUGAAGACUCCUUUUCCCUCCCUCAUUUUGAUGCCUUCAACACGUCCAGUGCUGUUUGUAGGUAUUUUAAAUGAAAAAAAAUAUAACAUUACCAGAUAUAUUAAAUAAUUGUUCACUAGCCAUAUGAGUUUAUAGUUUUAAGUGUUAAUGCACAUCACCGUAUUUCACCUUUAAACAAUGGAAAUGAUUGCAAAACACCUAUGUAGUUUACCAUAAUAGUCACUUGUUAAGUUAUGUGUAAUGUAUUGAACAAAUUUAUGAGACAACCUCUUGGUUCUCAAUUUUGUAUAAUACUUGAAAGUAUGUGUGUAAUUUAAUCAGGUAUCAUAGCAGAAACACCCCUUAGCAAUAUAGAUACAUUUCCUUUUUUUUUUAAUAGAUUUUUGUAGGUAUGAUCAACUUUUUUUACUACAAACAUGGAUCAAAAGUUAUUUCACCGUUUAUUUUCUCUCUUGAUCAAUUCAAAAUUGAAACAAAUACAAAGAAUGAUCAAAUUCAAUUUCAGAGCAGAACAGUGAUCAGUAACAGAGGUGAUCAUUAACAGAGUUAUGGAAUAUUUUGCUAAUAUAUAUAGAGAACAAGCAGAUGCAGUCCUAUAAGUGGAUACACCAAAUGCUGACUUUAUGUUUGGUUAUUUCAUUCAAUUACUAGUACACUGUAUACAUAUUUAAAUUUAUUCAGAAGUUCUAUAUGAGUGUGUAUAAUGUAUAUUCUGUAUAUUGCAUAUAUCAUAAAUGUGUUUUCAUAUUCUAUAUAUUUUCAUUAUUAUGUAUAUUUGAUAAUGUAAUUUGUUGUUGCUCUUUUCAUUAAAAUGAAUGCAAAUCA